GUGAAUCAUCAAAUCUUUGAACGCAAAUUGCACUUUUUGGUAUUCCGGAAAGCAUGCCUGUUUGAGGGUCAGUUAUAUAAAAAUCGGUGUUGUUGCUGCCUUCCGCGGUGACAUGUCGGUAUUGGGUCGUCUUAUCAUCGGUUAAGUGACGUAAACUUCUUGCAUGAUUUUCGAACGUAUUUAAAUCGCUUACGCACGAUUGAGAUAUCGAACGCUUAUCAGGUUUGGUCACUUCUAUG
rnacentral:misc_RNA from 1 species